UCCAUCAAAAACACCUUGUGUGAUGAAAAACCCGGAUGUAUAAUCUCUCCCUAUAUAUUCUGCAUGCACUGAGGUAGCCUCAACCUCCCCCCAGGGACCUGGUGCAGACGUGGAACCUGUUUCACACAACUGCUGCCUGACGGGAAAAAAGAAGCAAAUGAUACCAAGAGAAGCUCAUCACAGAGAUCUAUUCACCAGAUGUGUACGGAUGAAAAUACAGUGAGAUGAGUCAGAAAGUGGCUAAGGAGGGCCCCAGACUCUCCAAGAACCAGAAGUUCUCCGAGCACUUCAGCAUACACUGCUGUCCGCCCUUCACCUUCCUCAACUCCAAACGCGAGAUUGUGGACCGCAAAUACAGCAUCUGUAAAAGUGGCUGCUUCUACCAGAAGAAAGAGGAGGACUGGAUCUGCUGUGCCUGCCAGAAGACCAGAACCAGCCGCCGUGCAACGUCCCCUAAGAAGCCCAAGCUCCAGCCGGCUGCACCCCCUGCGGUGGUCAAAGCACCAGCCAAGCCACGGUCCCCUCCGAGGUCCGAACGCCAGCCACGCCCCCGCCCGGAAGUCCGACCUCCACCAGCCAAGCAGCGCCCCCCUCAGAAGGCCAAGCCGCCGCCGCGCAGCAGCCCCCAGAGAGGGCCAGGCACCAGCCGUGGGGGGUCCCCCGGCAAAGCUCCUAGGUUCUGGUAACACCAUCUCUUCCCUUGUGCUCCCCCACCCCCAAGAUUGAAAAAGAAGACCAAGCCGACCCCUCGGAAGAAGUGAUGGAGAAGCUCCAAAUGAGUGGACAGCCUCAGCUCCCAGACUUACUGCUUAUCGACCCACACGCCCUUGGGCAGGUUAUUUGGCUCUGAACAUGAUGCAGGCGCAGACACCUGCCAACGGCCACAGCCCCCACAGCGCCGGGGCCGUCAGGCGGCCUGCCUGGAGUAUUUUGAAGAUAUCAUCCCAUUGUCUUCUGACCUCUAUAAUUGACAUGAGAAAUAUGUUGUCAGUCUACUUGUCCUUCCAUUGACUCAAGUUUCUUCAAUCUGAAGAUAUAUAUCUUUCUUCAGGGAUAUGUAAAAACAAAGAUAUUGUUGAACAACCAUUGUAACGGCAAAAAUUAAAAAUUAUCAAGUGUUGGAAAGGAUGUAAGCCACUGAUGAGAAUUCAUAAACUAUUACAACAUUUCUGGGGUACUAGCAAAACAGGAUAUUCUAUAACCUAUGAUCAAGUAAUUAUAAUUUUAGGCACCAAUCCUGAGAAAACUUGCAUUUAUAGAAAGAAAAAAAGAUACAUGUUCAGUGAAGCAUUGUUUGCCAUUGAAAAAAGAGAGAGAAAGAAGUUAAUCAAAAUAUCCAUCAACAGAAUGAAUGAAUCGGUAAUGUAAUAUUCAUAAAUGAAACCCUGAAUAGCAGUUAAAACAAACGAAUCAAAUAUACUCAUACCAGGUAGACAAAUUUGGAAGACAAAAUGAGGAACAUAAAAAAGCAAAAAGUAGAUGGUAAAUACAAUAUGAUGUCCUAUGCAUAAAUUUUAACCACCCACAAUGCUAUAAUUGUCCCAAAUGCAGAAGCCAUAUGAUCUCACACUCUCUCUAUAAUGCAAUAGAAUUUUUUAAAAAAUGACAACAGAAUAAAAGGCAAUCCAAGAAAUAUCUCUAGUCUUGGAAACCAAAAAGAAGACUUGAAAUAAUUCCUGGAUUGGAGAAAUAACAGAAAUUAAAAGCUAUGUAGAAAUGAUCAACAAUAUAUUAGCCAGAUACAAAUGCAUCUGGGGCAGUAAGGGAGAUGAAUGAUCAACCUGGGGUCUCUCCAAGGUUAUAAGUCUUAGAAAACAAUACUUGUUCUGAGUCAGUUUUUAAAUCUGGGCUGUACUGGGCUUCUGCUAGUUUCUGACAUGGGGAAGGGGGGAGGAGCUAGAAUAUACCUCCCCACCCCCCAACCUUCCUUUAGUAAGAGGUAAGAAAGCACAGUAGAAGAUACUAGAAUGUUGUAGAAUGUGGAGGGAUGUAAAAAGGGCAGUAUUAGAUGGAGGGAAACUCAGAGCUAAGGUGAGCGAGGGCGUGGGGUCAGUUUUGUGCUGGGAGCUGUGGUGGCCAUGCACAGGCAGGUGCCUGAGACACCAACAAGGCCAUGGAUCUGUAUCUUUGAGUGAACACAGCCAGACCUAGCCAAGCUUGAAAGGCAAGUGAGAAUAUAGGGGCAGUGCCAGAGGCAGUGCUCAAGGAGAGGGAGUGCCAGGUAGUAGGGAGGAAGCGUCUAGACUCAGGUGAGCUCUAGCUCUGAACAUCACACUCCUGGAAAGAGGAAGCAGGCCAGGUCCUGUCCCAGGGCAGUGGGAGGGCGAGGCCAGGUGUCUGGCUUCCCCACCUGGGGACGUCACUUCUCUGGGGAAGUGGCAAUAAAAAGGCAGGGAAAUCGAGCUACACAGAGCCUUCAGGUAGAAAUGUUCCCUGCCUACAUUCAGGUGCUAAAUGAACAAUAAAAUGAGAACCUCUACUGUGUACAGUUUCCAGUGAUGAGAUAUCUGAGUCCAUGCCAUUCCUGGGAAUAACACUGGGGGUGCCAUGACAGACCACUACAGAGAACAAAUUAGCUGGCCAGCCCCACUUAGACCCAAUAAGGAAACAAUAUUCCUUUAGUCCAUGUUAGAUUUUGGCAAAGCCAGACCCCACACUCCAAACUUGCUGGGUUCUGUCCUCCAUAUUAUCCAGAAGACACACAGUUACUACAGAACAUGACACUGAGGAGAGAGCAUGGUGUGUAGUAAUUCAUAUAAAAAAACCCCUGCAUAUCAGCACAGAAAUGUUAAUGACUAGAAAUUGCUGAAUUCUCUAUGUUGUCUGUUGUGGAAAUAAAGCCCUCUGGGGAUGGAUCAAAAACAUCUGGAAAUUACUUGAAACUGGUGAAUAACUAAAUGGAAUUAUAACUAAAAUGCACUCUAAUCCAAUUGUAUUUUUUGUCUUUUAAGGGUUGGUUCCAGGGAGCACUAUGCAGUAAAUAUUACAAAAAUUACAAAGCUCCAAAAGUUACUCUAUGUAAAUUUGUUUUUUUUUAAAUACUUAACCAGUAUCUAUUCAAUGCCUACUAAGUGUAAAUCAACCUUUUUUUUUUUUUAAAUGGAGGUACUGGGGAUUGAACCUAGGACCUCGUGCAUGCUAAGCACACACUCUACCACUGAGCUAUACCCCUACCCUCCUCUAUGUAAAUUUCUUGAGUGGGAAUUCUCAGCCAUAAUGUUUGGCAUAUUACUCUGAUAAUUCUGUAUGUCAGUUGAUUUUUAUGGUCUGACAUUUUGACCCCUUUGGGGAAAACUGAGAUAUGUACCCAGAAUUGUCCCAGUAAAUGCUUAAAAACUGGCCUUCUGGGUGGAAAGUCCUGAUUGAUAGUGUUUGCCAAUUUCCAUGGUGUAAAUACUUCCACUAUGGCUGAUUGCAAGCCAUGAAUGGGUAUCACUGAAUGCAGAAUAGGAAAGAGAUGUGCACGGUCGACCCUUGAGAGUUGGUACAGGCCACUGUAUAUACCCCAUGGACCUGUGUGAAACUACAGGUUUUUACUAAAAAUGUUGUCCCCUAAAUAUAAAAUGACAUGAGUGAAAGAAAAAAUAUAAAGGGAAAAUAAAUUCAAAUUGGGGAGCGCUAAUGGAGGAAAUUGACAGAGGAUUUUUUAUAACUUUGAGAAGUGUUAUUUGUCUAUAUUCUACAUUUUAUUAUUACCUUUUAUUAAGCAGAUGGGUACCUGUGUCUCACCCUGAGCAUUUUGACCUCUUAGUUUCUUUGGUGUUCCCCUAGAUGGAGCCUAGGGUUUCUUUCCUUUCAGAUAUUGGUGCUAAGAUGAGGACCAAAGAAUCGAUGGAAACCACUGUGAAGCCGGUUUCAGGAUGGCUGAGCUGAGGGUGGAGAUGGAAGAAAAGACGUGGAGCCUUCUGCAUUUGGGGAGGCGAUACUCAUAUUUACACUUACGGUUUGGUGUGAUAACAUAUUGCUUUUAAAAAUUUAAUGCUAAUGGAAACAAGAAAAGUAAGUUGUUCAAAAAUUGAAAAGAUGGAUUAAUAAACUCUUCUAUUAGAGUAA